UCACAUCUAUAAGUAUCGACUUGUGGAUGGAGCUAUGCAACUCGAGGCCACCAACUUAUACACAGCUUCUAAGCUCUGUUUUAGGGUGCAAAACUCAUAAUAAUGGCAUCAUUCAAGGCUGAGAAGCCUGCCGCUGGCUCUCAAACCACCAUUCCCGUCAAGAAAGAGCCUGCCAAAUGUACCAGUUGUGCACCCAAGGCUCCGGCCACCCAACCCGCCCCUAAAAAGGCCGAGCAGAAGCCCCAGGAGCCUAAGAAGAAGUUAACAGGAAGCAAGCCAGCAACAAAGUGAGGAGAAAAUGAGAAGAAUCCAUGAAUUAAUUUCUUAAUUCAUGGUGAUUCAUAUUUGUAUCGAUGGAUAUGAUCCAUAUUAAUGUGCAACUUAAUGCUUUCUGCUUAUUAUAUACAUGUGUCUCUUUUUAGGGUUCACCUAAUAUAUAAUUAAAUAAAACACAUGUUUUAACUAA